rnacentral:ncRNA from 1 species
UCUUUAAAUAUUUAAAUUGGUUAUAAGAUGAUAAUUAAAUUAUAGUAACCAAGUUAUAACUUAUCUGAGUAAACUUGGCUCUAAUUUUAAAAUAUAACAAUAAUAAAAUUAAACACAUGGCUUUUAUAGAAAUAGGUAAGUAAGAGUAAAUAGUAUUAGAUAUAAAAAAUAUCUAAUUCUAUAUACUCUAUAAUAUUAUAGUUUUAAAUGAUAUUAAAUAUUAUUACUAACACCAGUGUUGAAGAUUAAUAUAAUAACGAAAGUUUGUAUUAUUUAAAUUAAGAAGCUUGGUUAAUUAUGGUGCCAGCAUCCGCGGUUAAACCAGUAAGUUAAGUUAUAUAUCUUGGUAAAAAGACAGUUAGACAAAAUUUAGUUUAUCGAUUUUCUAUAUAAAAGUAAAAUUUAAUAUAGGUAUAAUAGUAUAAUAAUAACUUCAUUGUUGAAGCUGUGAUAUCUUUAAGGGAAACUGGGAUUGGAUACCCCAUUAUUUCUAGAAGUAAAUAAAGAAAUUUACCAGAGUACUACAAAUAAAAUAAUUUAAAACUCAAAGAGCUUGGCGGUAUUUUAGACCACUUAGGGGAACCUGUCUUAUAAUCGACAAUCCACGUUAAACCUUACCUUUUUUAGUAAACAACUUGUAUACCGUUGUCAUCAGGUAACUUUUAAAGAAAAAAGAAGUUAGCUAAGAAACAUAUUUGAGUUAGGAUGUCAAAUCAAGGUGCAGUUUAUAAAAAGGAAAAGAUGGGUUACAAUUAUAAAUUAUAAUACGAAUAUGCAUAUUGUAAAAAGCUUGAAGGAGGACUUAAAAGUAAAUUUUUUAUAUAAAAAUAAUUUGAACAAGGCUCUAAAAUGUGCACAAAUCGCCCGUCGCUCUCGUUGAAAAAUGAGAUAAGUCGUAACAUAGUAGGGGUAAUGGAAAUUGCCCCUAAAUU